CUGCAGAACCGUGCCCUCGUCUUCGAACAGCAGAACCGCCGAUAACCGGAGAACUUCAACUCCGACUCCGGUCACUGGUCACCGGUCACCGACUCGUCGCACUUGUAUCAGCCAAUCAUCAUUCACCGAUCCGCCUAAACUGUGACUCCGGCAAUUAAGUCAAAACAGAUCCGCGUCUCUGGCGAUCUGAUUCCGGAGAUCAUCUACUAGAGAAUUCGUCUGCGGAUAUUUGUUAAGGAGAAAUACAAGGGAUAUCUUAUGGAGAAGUAUGGGGAGGAUUGUAUCCAGCAAUCAAUAUUUGACCAAGGCUUAUGGUUCCGAGCAGCCCGGGGAAAGAAAAAGGGCAAAGUGUAUGGGUUAAGUAAUUUUAGUGACCCAUAUGUACGUGACAGAGAAGACCACGAGAUCGAAAGGUUGAACGUGAUCAUCCAAGAGAUAGUGAAAGAAAAAGAAGAAGAGAAAGAAAGGUUGAACGGAAUUAUUGCAGGGUUGGUGAUGGAAAAAGAAAAAGAUAAGGCGGAGAAAGAGGCUAUGAAUGAAAGGAUGACGAACAUUGAAUCAAUGCUAAAACUUAGGUUUCAAAAGAUAUAAUCAUCGAGUUAGCUUAUAAAGACUUUAUUUUGAGUAUGUAUUUU